rnacentral:rRNA from 1 species
UGGGGAAUAUUGGACAAUGGGGGCAACCCUGAUCCAGCCAUGCCGCGUGAGUGAUGAAGGCCCUAGGGUUGUAAAGCUCUUUCGGCGGGGACGAUAAUGACGGUACCCGCAGAAGAAGCCCCGGCUAACUUCGUGCCAGCAGCCGCGGUAAUACGAAGGGGGCUAGCGUUGCUCGGAAUCACUGGGCGUAAAGCGCACGUAGGCGGAUCUUUAAGUCAGGGGUGAAAUCCCAAGGCUCAACCUUGGAACUGCCUUUGAUACUGGGGAUCUCGAGUCCGGAAGAGGUUGGUGGAACUCCGAGUGUAGAGGUGAAAUUCGUAGAUAUUCGGAAGAACACCAGUGGCGAAGGCGGCCAACUGGUCCGGUACUGACGCUGAGGUGCGAAAGCGUGGGGAGCAAACA